GCUGGCCUGCGCGGCCGGGCCAGCGACCGCGCCUUCAGCGUGGCGGGCCGUGACUAUCCGCGCGGCAGCGUCGUGUUCAGCCGCGCGGAGAACGGCG
rnacentral:tRNA from 1 species